CAGGACGAACGCUGGCGGCGUGCCUAAUACAUGCAAGUUGAGCGCUGAAGGUUGGUACUUGUACCGACUGGAUGAGCAGCGAACGGGUGAGUAACGCGUGGGGAAUCUGCCUUUGAGCGGGGGACAACAUUUGGAAACGAAUGCUAAUACCGCAUAAAAACUUUAAACACAAGUUUUAAGUUUGAAAGAUGCAAUUGCAUCACUCAAAGAUGAUCCCGCGUUGUAUUAGCUAGUUGGUGAGGUAAAGGCUCACCAAGGCGAUGAUACAUAGCCGACCUGAGAGGGUGAUCGGCCACAUUGGGACUGAGACACGGCCCAAACUCCUACGGGAGGCAGCAGUAGGGAAUCUUCGGCAAUGGACGAAAGUCUGACCGAGCAACGCCGCGUGAGUGAAGAAGGUUUUCGGAUCGUAAAACUCUGUUGGUAGAGAAGAACGUUGGUGAGAGUGGAAAGCUCAUCAAGUGACGGUAACUACCCAGAAAGGGACGGCUAACUACGUGCCAGCAGCCGCGGUAAUACGUAGGUCCCGAGCGUUGUCCGGAUUUAUUGGGCGUAAAGCGAGCGCAGGUGGUUUAUUAAGUCUGGUGUAAAAGGCAGUGGCUCAACCAUUGUAUGCAUUGGAAACUGGUAGACUUGAGUGCAGGAGAGGAGAGUGGAAUUCCAUGUGUAGCGGUGAAAUGCGUAGAUAUAUGGAGGAACACCGGUGGCGAAAGCGGCUCUCUGGCCUGUAACUGACACUGAGGCUCGAAAGCGUGGGGAGCAAACAGGAUUAGAUACCCUGGUAGUCCACGCCGUAAACG
rnacentral:rRNA from 1 species